rnacentral:rRNA from 1 species
GUAUUGAAGGUGAUGCCUGCCCGGUGACAAUGUUCAACGGCCGCGGUAUCCUGACCGUGCAAAGGUAGCGCAAUCAAUUGUCCCGUAAAUCGGGACUAGUAUGAAUGGCUAAACGAGGUCUUAACUGUCUCUUACAGGCAAUCGGUGAAAUUGAUCUCCCUGUACAAAAGCAGGGAUAACAACAUAAGACGAGAAGACCCUGUGGAACUUCAAAAACAGCAACCACCCCAAACAACACAUUUCCCCCCAACUCGGGCUCACGUCCUUACGGGUAACUGGUUUGCAUUUUUUCGGUUGGGGCGACCUUGGAGCAAAACAAAACCUCCAAAUAUUGGACCAUCAAUCCAGACUGAGAGCAACCUCUCNACGUGCGAAUAGCAACCAGAUCCAAUAUAAUUGAUCAAUGGACCAAGCUACCCCAGGGAUAACAGCGCAAUCUCCUCCAAGAGUCCUUAUCGACGAGGAGGUUUACGACCUCGAUGUUGGAUCAGGACAUCCUAGUGGUGCAGCCGCUACUAAGGGUUC